GUGCCAGCAGCCGCGGUAAUACGGAGGGUCCGAGCGUUAUCCGGAAUCAUUGGGUUUAAAGGGUCCGCAGGCGGUCAAUUAAGUCAGAGGUGAAAUCCCAUAGCUUAACUAUGGAACUGCCUUUGAUACUGGUUGACUUGAGUCAUAUGGAAGUAGAUAGAAUGUGUAGUGUAGCGGUGAAAUGCAUAGAUAUUACACAGAAUACCGAUUGCGAAGGCAGUCUACUACGUAUGUACUGACGCUGAGGGACGAAAGCGUGGGGAGCGAACAGGAUUAGAUACCCUGGUAGUCCACGCCGUAAACGAUGGAUACUAGUUGUUGGGCAUUAGCUCAGUGACUAAGCGAAAGUGAUAAGUAUCCCACCUGGGGAGUACGGUCGCAAGACUGAAACUCAAAGGAAUUGACGGGGGCCCGCACAAGCGGUGGAGCAUGUGGUUUAAUUCGAUGAUACGCGAGGAACCUUACCAGGGCUUAAAUGUAGUCUGACAGCUUUAGAGAUAGAGUUUUCUUCGGACAGAUUACAAGGUGCUGCAUGGUUGUCGUCAGCUCGUGCCGUGAGGUGUCAGGUUAAGUCCUAUAACGAGCGCAACCCCUGUCAUUAGUUGCCAGCAUGUAAAGAUGGGGACUCUAAUGAGACUGCCGGUGCAAACCGCGAGGAAGGUGGGGAUGACGUCAAAUCAUCACGGCCCUUACGUCCUGGGCCACACACGUGCUACAAUGGUAUGGACAA
rnacentral:rRNA from 1 species